rnacentral:lncRNA from 1 species
GGUAUAUGAUUGAAGUGCUGGAGUUCAAACUCCUGUAUGAUACAAAAAUAAUCGUACACCAAAGCUGGAUUUUGCAUUGGGCUCAUCGACUAUCACAUAGCAAAUUCAGACCCCAGGGGUUUUGCACACCAAGACUCUCGAGAAAUCACUGGAAGCACUUGAUAAUUCUGUUAUCUAGGAACCAUAGUUGUGACACUAACAUUGUUCGAUGAAGGUGAUGAAGAGGCUCCUUC